UCCUUCGGGGUGCAGCAGGCGCGAAACCUUUACAAUGCCCGAAAGUGUGAUAAGGGAAUCCUGAGUGCUCAUUUUUACAUGGGCUCUUGUUAAGAGUAAAUAUCUUGGAGAAUAAGUGGUGGGCAAUACCGGUGCCAGCCGCCGCGGUAACACCGGAGUCACGAGUGGGAGUCCCUAUUAUUGGGCCUAAAGCGUCCGUAGCCGGUUAAGUAAAUCUCUUGUGAAAUUGUCGGGCUCAACCUGACAGCGUGCAUGAGACACUGCUUAACUAGGGACCGGGAGGAGUCAGAGGUAUUUCGGGGGGAGCGGUAAAAUGUUAUAAUCCUCGAAGGACCACCUAUGGCGAAGGCAUCUGACUAGAACGGAUCCGACAGUGAGGGACGAAAGCCAGGGGAGCAAACCGGAUUAGAUACCCGAGUAGUCCUGGCUGUAAACGCUGCGAGCUAGGUGUUGCGUAUUCUUCGUGGAUGCGCAGUAUCGAAGCGAAGGUGAUAAGCUCGCCGCCUGGGAAGUACGGUCGCAAGGCUGAAACUUAAAGGAAUUGGCGGGGGAGCAC
rnacentral:rRNA from 1 species